AUUGAACGCUGGCGGCAUGCCUUACACAUGCAAGUCGAACGGUAACGAGCCUUCGGGUGCCGACGAGUGGCGAACGGGUGAGUAAUACAUCGGAACGUGCCCGAUCGUGGGGGAUAACGAGGCGAAAGCUUUGCUAAUACCGCAUACGAUCUACGGAUGAAAGCAGGGGACCGCAAGGCCUUGCGCGGACGGAGCGGCCGAUGGCAGAUUAGGUAGUUGGUGGGAUAAAAGCUUACCAAGCCGACGAUCUGUAGCUGGUCUGAGAGGAUGAUCAGCCACACUUGGACUGAGGAACGGGCCAGACUCCUUAGGGAGGGCGGAGGUGGGAAUUUUGGACAAAGGGGGGAAGCCUGGUCCAAGCCAGGCGCGUGCAGGAUGAAGGCCUUCGGGUUGUAAACUGCUUUUGUACGGAACGAAAAGCCUUCUUUUAAUACAGGAGGGUCAUGACGGUACCGUAAGAAUAAGCACCGGCUAACUACGUG
rnacentral:rRNA from 1 species